GUUGCUGCUGGGCUCUUCCCAGCUCAGACGCAGCAAAAGAGCCUGGAACCUGGGUCCUAGUUUGUACCUAGACUAUGAGGCAGGUGGCAAGAGUGAUCGUGCUCCUAAUCCUGGGUACUCUGAGCCUUGCUAAGACCACCCAGCCCAUCGCCAUGGAAUCAUAUGAAGGACAAGAAGUGAACAUACCCUGUAGCCACACAGACAUUGCUACAAAUGAUUAUAUCUUCUGGUACCAACAGUUCCCCAACCAGGGACCACGAUUUAUUAUUCAAGGAUAUAAGACAAAUGUGACAAAUGAAGUGGCAUUUCUGUUUAUCCCUGCCGACAGAAAGUCCAGCACCCUGAGCCUGCCCCGGGUGGCCCUGAGUGACACUGCUGUGUACUACUGCAUCCUGGCUGACACACAGUGA